GGCGUCUCAAAUACUGAGAAGAUAUUCACUUCAGCCUAAGCAACUUUCUCCAUAUGUUGUAUUGACAUCCAAUUUAAGCAAAUCAAGAUUCUGUGGGGUUGCUGAUAGCGAAGUGAUGGCAGAAGAAAGUGGCAGAAGUUUUGCCCGAAGGAACCAAUUGUUGGAGAUAGAGAAACAGGUUCAUAACUGGUGGACUGAAGGUGAUGUUUUUAAAGCUGAACCUAAAGAAUCACCUCCUAAAGUGGGGGAAAAGUUCUUUGGGAAUUUCCCUUUUCCUUACAUGAAUGGAUAUCUACAUUUGGGUCAUGCUUUUUCAGUGUCAAAACUAGAAUUUGCAGCAGCAUAUCAUAGAUUGAAAGGUGCUACUGUUCUUUUGCCUUUUGCCUUUCACUGCACUGGGAUGCCCAUAAAGGCAUCUUCGGAUAAGCUUACAAGGGAGAUAUCAAUGUUUGGGAACCCACCUGUUUUUCCGGCUAGGGAAGAGGAGAAUGUUGAAACAGAAGCGAAGGUUGAGACUGAAGGAAAUCAGCCUGCACCGGGUGGAAAAUUCAAAGGAAAAAAAUCAAAGGCAGUUGCAAAGACGGGUGGUGAUAAGUACCAGUGGGAGAUAAUGAGGAGUUAUGGUCUGUCGGAUGAGGAGAUUGCCAAGUUUACAGACCCAUAUUACUGGCUAACAUACUUUCCACCACUGGCCGUAGAGGAUCUGAAGGAGUUUGGAUUGGGCUGUGAUUGGCGUAGGGUUUUUAUUACAACUGACAUUAAUCCAUACUUUGAUUCGUUUGUGCGGUGGCAAAUGCGGAAGCUGAAAGCCUCGGGAAGGAUUGUUAAAGAUCUCAGGUACACCGUAUAUUCACCCCUAGAUGGUCAGCCAUGUGCUGACCAUGACCGUGCUUCCGGUGAAGGAGUUAUACCUCAGGAGUAUACCCUUAUUAAGAUGGAAGUUGUCUCACCCUUUCCACCAAAGAUGAGUGCUCUGGAGGGGAAAAAGGUAUUUCUCGCAGCAGCUACCCUGAGACCCGAGACCAUGUAUGGGCAAACAAAUGCUUGGGUUUUGCCUGAAGGAAAAUACGGGGCGUUUGAGAUUAAUGAUACUGAGGUUUUUGUCAUGACUUAUAGGGCAGCUCUUAAUCUAGCCUACCAAAGGUUGUCUCAUAUCCCUGAGAAGCCUACUUGUUUGGUUGAAUUAUCUGGUCAAGAUCUUAUAGGUUUGCCUUUGAGGUCUCCCUUGGCAUUUAAUGAAAUAAUAUACACUCUGCCCAUGUUAUCUGUUCUUACUGAUAAGGGCACUGGAAUUGUAACUAGUGUUCCCAGUGAUUCCCCAGAUGAUUAUAUGGCCCUCCAUGAUUUGAAGUCAAAGCCAGCUUUCAGGGCCAAAUUUGGUGUAAAGGAUGAGUGGGUCAUGCCGUUUGAGAUAGUUCCGAUCAUUAACCAUCCAGAUUUUGGAGACAGGUCAGCUGAGAGGAUUUGCAUUGAAAAAAAAAUCAAGAGUCAAAAUGAGAGAGAUAAGCUUGAUGAGGCAAAGAAAACAAUUUACAAGGGCGGGUUUUAUGAGGGAAUCAUGAUUGUUGGAGAAUUCGCUGGUAUGAAAGUCCAAGAAGCAAAAGGUCUGAUCAGGAGCAACCUUUUGGAGUCAAAUCAAGCUGUAGUAUAUAGUGAACCUGAGAAAAAAGUCAUGUCGCGAUCCGGGGAUGAGUGUGUUGUGGCUUUGACUGAUCAAUGGUAUAUCACUUAUGGAGAAUCAGAAUGGAGGAAGGCUGCAGAGGAGUGUCUGGCCAAUAUGAAUCUCUACUCUGAUG
rnacentral:misc_RNA from 1 species